AAACACUGAAUCUACUUGGAGAUGAGAGAAACUCACUCUGAAAAAUAACAGGCAUGUUUGAAACGGCCCUGAAAUGUGUGCGUGUGUCUCUACGACUGCCAAGAACGCACAGAGGACAGCCGGCUGCUUCCCUGGGCCAGUGAAGGGGCUCUGGAAACAGCUCUGUUGGUAGGAGUGAGGAGAGCAGCUUCAGGAGGCCAACCCCGUGUGCCUGCAGAGGGGGUUGAGGACGGAGAGAAACCCCUCUCGGAUCUUGCCUGGCAGGUGCCGUCAAACCUGGCUGCUGAGGACAGUCUGCAGGCGAGGUUCAUGGUGGUGCCCGGUGCUCUGAAAGGAGGGCUGAUGGGAAGUGGCAGAGUGAUGUUUUGGGACUUCUGAGGUCAGGGCAGAAAAAGCCUUUUAGCUCCUGCCUGGGGCCAAACCUGGAGAAGAAUGAGACUUCACCCCUCCAUGGGAGCAGUAGCCAAGAAUGGGCAGCCAUUUUAAAUUUGCCACACCAAGUGACUCUUUAUCCAGGCUGGCUGAAAAAAGAGGGAGUCCUUGGGAAUCUCC
rnacentral:lncRNA from 1 species